rnacentral:rRNA from 1 species
UUAAGGCUGAGCUGUGAUGGGGAGAAGACAUUGUGUCUUCGAGUCGUUGAUUUCACACUGCCGAGAAAAGCCUCUAGAUAGAAAAUAGGUGCCCGUACCGCAAACCGACACAGGUAGUCAAGAUGAGAAUUCUAAGGUGAGCGAGCGAACUCUCGUUAAGGAACUCGGCAAAAUGACCCCGUAACUUCGGGAGAAGGGGUGCUCUUUAGGGUUAACGCCCAGAAGAGCCGCAGUGAAUAGGCCCAAGCGACUGUUUAUCAAAAACACAGGUCUCUGCUAAACCGUAAGGUGAUGUAUAGGGGCUGACGCCUGCCCGGUGCUGGAAGGUUAAGAGGAGUGGUUAGCUUCUGCGAAGCUACGAAUCGAAGCCCCAGUAAACGGCGGCCGUAACUAUAACGGUCCUAAGGUAGCGAAAUUCCUUGUCGGGUAAGUUCCGACCCGCACGAAAGGCGUAACGAUUUGGGCACUGUCUCAACGAGAGACUCGGUGAAAUCAUAGUACCUGUGAAGAUGCAGGUUACCCGCGACAGGACGGAAAGACCCCGUGGAGCUUUACUGUAGCCUGAUAUUGAAAUUCGGCACAG